GAGUCAUUGGGACUCUAGUAAACCUAAAGGCGCAAUGAAAGUAAAGGUCCGCCUCGCGCGGACCGAGGGAGGAUGGGCCCGUUUACGGGCGGGCCCCGCACUCCCGGGGCGUCUCGUUCUCAUCGCGAGAAGAGGCGCACCCAGAGCGUACACGCUGGGACCCGAAAGAUGGUGAACUAUGCCUGGUCAGGACGAAGUCAGGGGAAACCCUGAUGGAGGUCCGUAGCGAUUCUGACGUGCAAAUCGAUCGUCGGAACUGGGUAUAGG
rnacentral:rRNA from 1 species